UACGGAGGAUCCGAGCGUUAUCCGGAUUUAUUGGGUUUAAAGGGUGCGCAGGCGGGAGAUUAAGUCGGCGGUGAAAUUUUGCAGCUCAACUGUAAAAGUGCCUUCGAAACUGGUUUCCUUGAGUGUGGAUGAAGUAGGCGGAAUUUGUGGUGUAGCGGUGAAAUGCAUAGAUAUUACACAGAACACCGAUUGCGAAGGCAGCUUACUAAUCCAUCAUUGACGCUGAGGCACGAAAGCGUGGGGAUCAAACAGGAUUAGAUACCCCUGUA
rnacentral:rRNA from 1 species